UCCGGUUGAUCCUGCCAGAGGUUACUGCUAUCGAGGUUCGACUAAGCCAUGCGAGUCGAAUGUAGCAAUACAUGGCGAACUGCUCAGUAACACGUGGACAACCUGCCCUUAGGUUGGGUAUAAACCCGGCAAACUGGGUAUAAUACCCGAUAGGUCUCGAUUGCUGGAAUGCAUCGAGAUUUAAAGCUCCGGCGCCUAAGGAUGGGUCUGCGGCCUAUCAGGUAGUAGUGGGUGUAGCGUACCUACUAGCCUACGACGGGUACGGGUUGUGAGAGCAAGAGCCCGGAGAUGGAUUCUGAGACACGAAUCCAGGCCCUACGGGGUGCAGCAGGCGCGAAAACUUUACAAUGCUGGCAACAGCGAUAAGGGAACCUCGAGUGCCAGGUUACAAAUCUGGCUGUCGAGAUGCCUAAAAAGCAUUUCAUAGCAAGGGCCGGGCAAGACCGGUGCCAGCCGCCGCGGUAACACCGGCGGCUCGAGUGGUAACCGUUAUUAUUGGGUCUAAAGGGUCUGUAGCCGGCCGGAUAAGUCUCUUGAGAAAUCUGGCAGCUUAACUGUCAGGCUUUCAGGAGAUACUGUCUGGCUCGAGGCCGGGAGAGGUGAGAGGUACUUCAGGGGUAGGGGUGAAAUCUUGUAAUCCUUGAAGGACCACCAGUGGCGAAGGCGUCUCACCAGAACGGACCUGACGGCAAGGGACGAAAGCUAGGGGCACGAACCGGAUUAGAUACCCGGGUAGUCCUAGCCGUAAACGAUACUCGCUAGGUGUCGGCCACGGUGCGACCGUUGUCGGUGCCGUAGGGAAGCCGUGAAGCGAGCCACCUGGGAAGUACGGCCGCAAGGCUGAAACUUAAAGGAAUUGGCGGGGGAGCACCACAACGGGUGGAGCUUGCGGUUUAAUUGGAUUCAACGCCGGAAAUCUUACCGGGACCGACAGCAAUAUGAAGGCCAGGCUGAAGACUUUGCCGGAUUAGCUGAGAGGUGGUGCAUGGCCGUCGUCAGUUCGUACUGUGAAGCAUCCUGUUAAGUCAGGUAACGAGCGAGACCCA
rnacentral:rRNA from 1 species